rnacentral:rRNA from 1 species
GACUCGUAGCAGAUAGCUCAGUAACACGUGGCCAAACUGCCCUAUAGACGGCGAUAACCUCGGGAAACUGAGGCUAAUAGCCGAUACCGUUCAACACCUGGAGUGGUGUGAACGCGAAACGUUCAGGCGCUAUAGGAUGUGGCUGCGGCCGAUUAGGUAGACGGUGGGGUAACGGCCCACCGUGCCCAUAAUCGGUACGGGUUGUGAGAGCAAGAGCCCGGAGACGGUAUCUGAGACAAGAUACCGGGCCCUACGGGGCGCAGCAGGCGCGAAACCUUUACACUGCACGAUAGUGCGAUAAGGGGACUCCGAGUGCGAGGGCAUAUAGUCCUCGCUUUUCACCACCGUAAGGUGGUGGUGGAAUAAGUGCUGGGCAAGACCGGUGCCAGCCGCCGCGGUAAUACCGGCAGCACGAGUGAUGACCGCUAUUAUUGGGCCUAAAGCGUCCGUAGCUGGCCAGGCAAGUCUAUCGGGAAAUCUGCGCGCUUAACGCGCAGGCGUCCGGUGGAAACUGCAUGGCUUGGGACCGGAAGACCAGAGGGGUACGUCCGGGGUAGGAGUGAAAUCCCGUAAUCCUGGACGGACCACCGGUGGCGAAAGCGCCUCUGGAAGACGGAUCCGACGGUGAGGGACGAAAGCUCGGGUCACGAACCGGAUUAGAUACCCGGGUAGUCCGAGCUGUAAACGAUGUCUGCUAGGUGUGGCACAGGCUA